GAUGAAGAACGUAGUGAAAUGCGAUAAGUAAUGUGAAUUGCAGAAUUCAGUGAAUCAUCGAAUCUUUGAACGCACAUUGCGCCCGCCAGUAUUCUGGCGGGCAUGCCUGUUCGAGCGUCAUUUCAACCAUCAAGCCCCCGGGUUGUGUUGGGGACCUGCGGCUGCCGCAGGCCCUGAAAACCAGUGGCGGGCUCGCUAGUCACUCCGAGCGUAGUAAUACAUCUCGCUCAGGGCGUGCUGCGGGUUCCGGCCGUUAAAAGCCUUAUUUUACCCAAGGUUGACCUCGGAUCAGGUAGGAAGACCCGCUGAACUUAAGCAUAUCAAUAAGCGGAGGA
rnacentral:misc_RNA from 1 species